UAGAAAUUAACUAACAUUUGGCCCCUGCUAUGCAGAGACAACAUUGUUUUAAAUUAUAUUUGCUACAACUCUUAACUAAGAUUUUUAAAAUAAAACAGACAGCAUAAAUAUACAACAAAUUUAUUAUCAUUAACUGAAGAAUAUACAAAGAUUAAGAAAAAGAUAUAAAAAAGGUAUAACUUUUCUACCCAAUGAAUCAAUUGCGAUAGACAGUAACUAACAAAUCAAGAGUUUAGAAAUAUAAGAGAGUAUAAGUACGAAAAUUAUGCUGGGUAUAUACAUGUCCGCUUAUUUCAUCAUUAGCUACAACCAAUUGUAAUGUGUUCUUCUUCUCAUCAUCAGUAAUUCAGUUUACAAACAUUCGUUGACACCCAAAGCUUGGAAGUCUAAAAACAAUGUAAAAUGUGCAAAAGUAAGUAACUACAUGACGCAGACGCUGCCUUUGAAACAAUAUCAAAGAUAUUGUAGAUAUAAAGAAGUAAAAUAAGAGAUGACUUUAAAAUUGAAGUAUUUGUAUU
rnacentral:sRNA from 1 species